AUGCCGAUAACGGCCGAACUCGGUCUGGGAGGCACCAGACUGAACGUAUCGUUCGGCACGGGAGCAGGGAUCGACCGAACUGUUCUGUUCGAUACGAACAGCCUCUCAGCACGAACGCCUGACCAGACAGGCCCAAUACUAGCUUCCUGGCCCAAACAAAAAUCCCUUUGCACCAAAAAUAUAGAGAAAAAUGUUGACAGAUCGCAAGAUCCUGCUCACCAACCAAGCCCAUCAGACCCCAGCGCAAGAUCCUGCUCACCGCCUAUCAGACCCGCGCACACGAGAGCAGCAGACCAGCUGGCUGCGCACAAGCUGCUCGACGAAUUGCACCCAGGAGAGGAGGGCGGGCCUGGUAGAGGCGGGCGAAGACGGCAUCCUGGUGCAGGAGGCGGCACUCGGUGGAUUGGGUGCACGACACGGCUGCCUCAAGCUCCCUGGUGGCGGAGCGACUUGCUUGCACAGAAGAUGAUGCGAGACCGCGCGCGUCGUGCGCCUCCACGCGCUCGAUCCAGCCGCCGCAUGCCCGGCUCCCUCGUCGUUGCCACCGCCGCCGACGACCUUGAGGAGGAUCGUCGAAGAGUUGGAGAGGGGGACGGGGCGUGGCAAAGGUUGCUUGCCACCAGCGUCCAUGGCCUCCACCCGCAAAAUCCAGAGCUCCCCCGUCGAUGGACGGAGGCGGGGAACGACGAGGCAAGCGAAAGCGGGCUGCAGGGGCCGCCGGAACUGGCCAUAGAGGGCGUGGCGGGCCUGGCCACAAUCGAGCUCGACCUCGAGGUGAGCCCGCGAGAUCCCAUGGAGGGAGAUUCACUCUUCGGCGACGAGAGGACGCUGUCGGGGAGGACUCCAUCGUGUCUCCCCCAUCACGGACACGUCCAUGCCGCUGUCCCAGGCAGCUCAUUCGCGCUGGGCUGUCUGGUCUUCGGGCUUGUUUUUUCUGUCGGGUCCGGUUUUUUUGUCCCAGCCCGUUACCGCUCCGCGCCCCUCCUCUCCGCCUCUUUCGGUUUUGGUCCUUUUUUGAAUUUUGGGUGUGGUUUUCCCCUUUCAUUUGAGCGGUUUCCUCUUAUGCCCUCUGUUGCAGGUCCCUUCUGUCAUUUUCUAUGUUUAGUUUAUGAGUGGUUGCAAAUGGGUUUACAUAUCUUCAAGGAUUGUCGCUCUGUUUGCAAGCUUGACCUGUCGCAAUUUGUUUAUGAGUGGUUGUUGUCUAGUAUUAAGAAAUUCAAGGAUUCUACUAAAGUUGCUUCGAAAAGCUCUGUGACGUUUGGUGGCUGCCAUUACGCCUUUGCUGUUUCUUUCCUUGAUCAUCUCAAUUUCGGUCUCUACUCUGUCCCUGAUGUCAAGCCUCGUGUACUAGCAUGA
rnacentral:rRNA from 1 species